rnacentral:rRNA from 1 species
GACGAACGCUGGCGGCGUGCUUAACACAUGCAAGUCGAACGGAAAGGCCCUGCUUUUGUGGGGUGCUCGAGUGGCGAACGGGUGAGUAACACGUGAGUAACCUGCCCUUGACUUUGGGAUAACUUCAGGAAACUGGGGCUAAUACCGGAUAGGAGCUCCUGCUGCAUGGUGGGGGUUGGAAAGUUUCGGCGGUUGGGGAUGGACUCGCGGCUUAUCAGCUUGUUGGUGGGGUAGUGGCUUACCAAGGCUUUGACGGGUAGCCGGCCUGAGAGGGUGACCGGCCACAUUGGGACUGAGAUACGGCCCAGACGCCUACGGGAGGCAGCAGUGGGGAAUAUUGCACAAUGGGCGGAAGCCUGAUGCAGCAACGCCGCGUGCGGGAUGACGGCCUUCGGGUGGUAAACCGCUUUCGCCUGUGACGAAGCGUGAGUGACGGUAAUGGGGAAAGAAGCACCGGCUAACUACGU